AAAAAAGCCAUCAGCACUGGCAACCCUGACCCUCUUCUCUGUGGUUCGAUGGGAGCCAGGGCCAAGGGACAUGCAAGUUAUGAAAUUGGAUGUGCCAUACAACAUGCUCUUCAGCUGGUCGGAAAACGAAAGUAUUUUUUCAAGGCCUGGCUGACUGUUGUGUCAUCUUCUACAUGGACUUGUGGGCCCACAGCUGAAUGGGAGGCAGAGAGAUGCAAAAAGUGAGCUGAGUGGCAGGAGGACUAAUUCCUGUCCUCUCUUUAUUGCCAUGGGAUUCGCUUUCAAUCCUCACUCUUCAGGCUUUCUCCAUAUUUACGUGCUUGUAACUCUGGCAUGACCUUUGCUCCAGUCUCUACCAGAGGGCGGCGCCUGGAUUGAAGUGGAAAAGCCCUGUUUUCCAGCCAUGACCCAGGGAGCAAGCACUGACUCCUCAGGGGAACAGGAGACCUGCCAACUAGGACCCUGGGAGCCCCCAUGCUGGCAGUGCCCUGGGUCAUCUCAGGCUCAUCAACAAAUCCUGGGGGGAGAGCGGGGUUGGAGGGCGAAGAAGCCCAGGAGAGUUCCUGGCUCAGAACCCCUCUCUGAGGCUCCCGAUACAGAGCCCAGGCCCCACACCCAGAGCCUCUGAGUAUUUUUGUUUAUUGUAUGUAAAAUACUAGUGUAUUUUUGUUUAAGUCUCACAGGUAAACAGGUUCUCUCAUACUUUG
rnacentral:lncRNA from 1 species